GACAAGCCUAUGGAGGAGAGAGCAUGUCUUCCUUUGACCUAAAAUGGAUUUAUAUUUGAGGACAUCAGGCCUGUUAGUUUUUGAUCCAGUGUCACGUCCAGUAGUGUCCUGUGUGAACGUGAGCGCUGAUAUCUGCACUCUUCAGUGUUCAGUGACUCUCACGGAGCAGACCACACUGAGCUGGUUCAGAGGAGAGCAGCCUGUGGACAGCAGCAGCUCUGCAGUGCAGCUCCUCACUGUCCAACUGAGGAAAAACACCCCAGAGUACAAAUGUGUGGCUCAAAACCCCGCUGAUAAGAAGAUUGUUAUAGUUGAUAUUACUACUCUCUGCACAAAUUUGACGAGUGAUGCGAACACAAAAAACUCACAGCGUAAGGAUUUAAAUAUGAUGAAAAAAAGGAAGUUACUUAUAAAUAAUCUUGUCUCUUUUUUGUCAUCU
ensembl:lncRNA